AGCGAACGUGGGCGGCAGGCCUAAAACAUGCAAGUAGAACGAUCCUUCGGGAUAGUCGCGGACGGGUGAGUAACACGUGGGAACGUGCCCUUUGGUUCGGAAUAACUCAGGGAAACUUGAGCUAAUACCGGAUGUGCCCUUCGGGGGAAAGAUCAAUCGCAAUUGGGGCGGCCCGCGUCGGAUUAGCUAGUUGGUGGGGUAAAGGCCCACCAAGGCUACGAUCCAUAGCUGGUCUGAGAGGAAGAUCAGCCACACUGGGACUGAGACACGGCCCAGACUCCUACGGGAGGCAGCAGUGGGGAAUCUGGCGCAAUGGGCGAAAGCCUGACGCAGCCAUGCCGCGUGAAUGAUGAAGGUCUUAGGAUUGUAAAAUUCUUUCGCCGGGGUCGAUAAUGACGGUACCCGGAGAAGAAGCCCCGGCUAACUUCGUGCCAGCAGCCGCGGUAAUAC
rnacentral:rRNA from 1 species